CGAGGCUAUGGCUCAAUGGUAGAGCAUCUGGUUGGCAUGCAGAAGGUCCCAGGUUCGAUCUCUGGCACCUCCA
rnacentral:tRNA from 1 species